GCCCUAUUAUCUAACUGUGCCAUCUUCCAAAGGGGUUGUGUGUAUGGGCAGGGGGGAUGUCCCAGCGUUACGAAUGCAGAAGUAAAAACACCAAUCUGAAAAAGGAAAGGGAGGAUAAAUGUUCUGUCCUCCAAAAUAGAGAGUCUUAAAACAGGAGGACAAAGGACAGGUCCUCACCAGGGCUACGCCCACGCCCACGGGAAAGGCACACAGAGCAGGGCGGUCCAAACCAGCAGUCGUGAGAGCACGAGGCUUAGCAAACAAUGGUUGCUGUACUCCACCCACGCCCCUGGAGCUGAAUUUCAAGUUCUGAAUUUAGACAAUACAGCUGGAAUUUCUGCAGUGUCACUCCGUGACACGCGGGGCUCCGGGCAGCUCUUGUUAAAAAUAUCUGGACACCCAUUGCAAGAACGAAAAUGAAUAUUUGAAAAGGAAAAGACAUCUACGGUGAGUUGGCAGGAAUUCUCCCAGGCAGGAUGAAAGGAAAUAGUUAUUUGGAGAGUACCUUCAAGCAGGCUAGAAGUUUCAUAAUGGCUUGAAGAAGUAGGAUGAAUUUGUCGGGGGAAAAAAAAGAUAGGAUUAUGGUUGUAUCACAUUAGACCCUUCCUCGCAUUUAGGGUAGACUCAGGAAACUUUCAUUCACAGAAAGGUAACUUUAAAUUUGAUAAAUUAUUUGCAAGGCUUGGUGUACCGCCCACUGUUCUUCUAGACCAUAAACUCUUUGGAUGUCAGAUAUAAAGAAAGCCUUGGGAAAUGUUGCUGCAUCGAUGUGUCCCUAAUAAAUGGUAAGAUAUAAAAAUCUUAGAGCAGUGGUCAAAUGUUGGCUUAACACCACAGGAUCAGUCCUUCCAGGGCUGCUGAACACUCCAGGAUUAUUAUGUUGAGACGGGUCACCCGGAAGUCGGCUCUCCUGCUGGGCAUUAUCACCUGCCUGGGGGGUGACCUGACAGGCUCCUCCUCCAACAGAGCAACAUAGAAUUCAGAAUCUCAGAAUUGGAAGGUUCGGAUUGCUUCCCUCAGUACUUACGUGAUGCUGAUCAAGCCCUUUAACUUCCCCAGUUAGUUCCACGUCACUAAAUAAAGAGCAAAGACAUCUACUCUACCUACCCCGUGAAGGCAGUGCGACUCUGGAAUGAGGCCAACUCUGAAAUAUGGAUCCUUGCAUCAGUCUUGAUCAAACAGAAAAUCUGGGGGGUUAUGAAAGAGCUGGAGGAGGAAAUCUAAGAUCAUGUUUAAGAGCUGGAAUACAGGAAGGGCGUCUAGGUGGCUCAGUCGGUUAAGUGUCUGACUUUGGCUCAGGUCUUGAUCUCACGGUUUGUGAGUUCGAGCCCCUAGUCUGGCUCUGUGCUGACAGCUCAGAACCUGGAGCCUGCUUUGGAUUUUGUGCCUCCCCUCUCUCUGCUCCUCCCAUGCACAUGCUCUGUCUCUCAAUAAUAAAUAAACCUUUAAAAAAUUUUUUUAAAAAAGAAAAAAGAGCUGGAGUGCAGGAGUAAAACGAAUCUGAAUCCUUUCCUGUGGUUUUGUAAAACUUUACUUAGGCAACAUGCUUAUGUUCUCCAAGCUGUUAGCGGAGUGUCUGAUGCAGUUACUGCACUAAAAACUUUACCUGUUACCAUAACGAAGGAGUUAGCAUCGUAUUAUGGUGAAAAAUGUAGGCGCUGGAGUCAGAUGACCUAGACCCUGGAAAGGGGCAAAUGUUUUUUGAAGAAGUAACGUCACAACUCUCAGAAAUAAAAUGCACAUUUGUUAAAGAUAUAUUUAACUCCUUAAUUCAUGAGGGAACCAAUACAAUGUCUCUAAAGGAGAAUUCCAAACACCACACAUUUAAGAGGCAGUCAGGCAUACAAAAAUGAACGGCUAGAUGCAAAAUACGUUUUUGACAUGGUGGGAAGAAAAAUCAGUUAUCUUUUCACCCGACAGAAUGCACUUGCAUAUCUACAGACACGAAUUAUUUUCAAUGCUAUCAGUUUUCUACAGUUUACAGAAUUGAGAUGAGCUGACAGACAACAAAAUAAUUCAAAGACAAUGAAAGCCUAAAACGGUAGUGCUUGGAGCAGGUUGAAGUUAAUCUAGAAACAAAAUGACAUAUUUUUUUGCACCUUAAUAUUGUGAACUUAAAUUCCCAUUUGCUAAAAACUCAUGGGAAACGCUAUAUCCGAGAAAAUUCCAGUUUCUUGAUAAGCCUCAUCUACAUUACUGCCUACUGUUCAGAUUUGCAACUAAUUCAAAUCUGACUCCUUUGUCUUGGGCUUUUUAAAAAAAAAAUUUAAUGUUUAUUUAUUUUUGAAGGAGAGAGAGACAGAGCACCAGCAGGGGAGAGACAGAAAGAGAAGGAGACACAGAAUCCGAAGCAGGCUGCAGGCUCUGAGCUGUCAGCACAGAGCCCAGUGUGGGGCUCGAACCCACGGACCGCGAGAUCACGACCUGAGCGGAAGUUGGAUGCUUAACCGACUGAGCCACCCAGGUGCCCCCAUCUUAUGCUUUCAAUAGAUUUGACACUUAACGAACCCAUGUGGUAUACUGAUCCAGCUCAGUGGCCUUCAUGUGAUUAUUCCUGAUUGGGACAGCCAGUGUCUUAGGCUAUAGUUUGUCUUAUUGCCUGUUUAAAACUUUCUUACCCCAUGAGUUACCUCUAUGUUUGUUUUUAAGCUACUCCCAGCUUUUGCAAAACUGUCCUAAGAUUACAAAGUUUUCUCCUAUUUCAUUAUUGACUGUUCGUUUCAUUUGGUAUGUUGGAAAAAGCAUCGGUGUAGGGUGUGUUAAUGUUGUAUCCAGUUACAGCUCUGUAACAUUCCAACUGUGGGAACUUAGACAAACUACCAUAACUCUUUGAACCUUGUUUAUUGAUAUACAAAAUGGAAACAAAAAUAUUUCCACUGAGGUGAGAAAUAAAUAAAAUAAUGCAUGUAAAACCCCAGGCAAAGAGUAUAUAGUGGGCCCUAAUGAAAAAAAAGAAGAAAAGAAAAAAAAAAAAUAGCUCCCCUAUCCUCCAUUUAUCCAGGAAGAGUGUGUGUGUGGUUAUUCCAUAUUUACACCAUGAUUUGGCGUCAUUGGAUUUUUUUUUUCCUUUAAAAAGUAGCAUUCCAGACCAUUUGGGAGAAAAUGACUAAGUUUUGGGGAAGAUAUUAAUGAAGACAACAAUUAAGGUGAGAGGAUAGAUAGGAAGACCCAACAUAAUACAGUAAUUCUCCCUGAAUGUAUCUAUAUUUAAUAAAAUUUAAAUUAAAAUAUGAACAUGUCCUAAUGUGGAAUUUCUCAAGACUUAAAAAUUUUAAAUUUAAAAGAGUAUUUAUAACUGUAUAUAAAAGUGCAGUCUCAAGAUAGACCAGACAAAGACGAAGACAAAGAAGAAGUAGAAGGAGGGGUGCCUGAGUGGCUCAGUCGGGGAAGCAUCCAACUCGUGGCUUCAGAUCUGGUCAUGAUCUCGUGGCUCAUGAGUUCAAGCCCCGCAUGGGGCUCGACACUGACACCGUGGAGCCUGCUUGGGAUUCUUUCUCUCCCCUUUCUCUCUGCCCCUACCCCAUUUGCUCACUCUCUCAAAAUAAAUAAACUUAAUUUUUAUUUAUUUAUUUUAAUUUUUAAUUUUUUUUGUAAAGGAGGAGGAUGGAGGAGAAGAUUUGAAGGACUAGUCAAAUCAUGUCUCAAAUCUUUUUAUAAAUCUGUAGCAAUUAAGGGAGUAUUAGUGAAGGGAUAGAUACACUGACCACUAGGACAACACCAAAAGACUCCAGAAAUGAACUCACACAUACUUGGAAACAUACUAUCAAUAAAUGAUCCUGAGACAACUGCCAUCUUUCAUCAUAUGUAAAAAUGACUUUUCAAAUACAUCUGCUGUGCUCACUCAUUGAGAGCAGCCCAGGGUAAAUAUGGCCUGGUUUGAGACUCUCAUGGUUCAUGGGUUCAAGCCUUACAUCAGGUUCUGUGCUGACAGCUCAGAGCCUGGAGCCUGCUUCAGAUUCUGUGUCUCCCUCCCUCCUCUCCCCUCCCCCCACUCGUGCGUGCUCUCUCUCAAAAAUGAAUAAACAUUAAAAAAAAGAGAGAGAGAGACAAGGAACCACUCCCACUUCUAACUCUGAUUCCUGGAUCCAUGUAUUCAAGUAACAAUUAUCACAAAGUCACAUAUUGAUGAUUAGUUCAGCCUAUGUACCACACAGUCUUAAGACUAUAACCCAAAUUCGCAAAGUGGUUUCUCCCAGCUGGCUCCAUAACUGAGUCUUCAAUUGACUAUUCCACUAUUCUGCUUCUGGAUAGUGGGAUAUAUGAUAAAAUUGGUGAAUUCUGUUGGUUUCAGCAUACUGUAUCAUUUGUUUUACUAUAAAAUAUGAGUUUUGUCAGGACAGUGUUUUGUGAAAUAUUGUGAUUAUAAAUAAGUAAAUACCAUGACUAUAAAUAAAUAGCAUAGCUUCUAGAAGGAUGCACAUCAAGGUAAAUAAAUUCAUUCCAGGAUAAAUGACUAGGGAAUGGCCGAGGGAGAAGCUGCAUAAAUCUUUCCCUUCAUAAAAAACAAUGAAAAUACUGGCAAAAUUAUCAAAAUUAUCUUCAGAGCUCUGACAAUGGGCUGAAAGCUUACAACAAUCUGAAGAUCAUUUGUUUAUCCAAGAAAAACUACUAGUUCUUGGCAAGAAUAGCAGAUUUUGUGGGGUUUCAUAGGGCUUACUCCCAUUCUCAAAAAGCUCCAUGACCAGACAAUUGUCUGACAGCUCCUUGGAAAAGUCCAAUUCAUAGGGCUUGUGUUAUUUGGCCUGAUUCAGUCCUUGUUCAGUGGGAAAAACUCUAUCUUCAGUGUGUUUGUCAAAUACAAUCAGCAGGAAUUGUUCAAUAUCACAGCUACCUAAGGCUCUGAGAUACCAGCCACAGUAAACAAUUACUAGCCAACAAUUUGAAAGGAAAAUCUGGGAAAUGAGAUAUCCAUAGAAACUUAAAAAGGCUAUGACCUAUUCCUGGGGAUUUACAAGUCCUCACACAUGUGCAGGAUAGACACGAGACAGUCCUGGUUACCGCCAGCUAUCUUUAAAUACCUACACAAGCAGGAAAUAAAGCGUAAGGCAGACUUAUAAACUGCCUGAACAUUGAAAGCUUGAGUCAUCGAACACAUGUAUUACAACUACAAGGAUUUUGGUUAUUUUGCCAUUUGACUGGAUACAUUGGCAAUUACAUUGAUGGCAUGCUGUUAAGGCUAGGUGACCAGAAAAUAUCAAGGAAUAUUGAUGUCUUGUUAAGACAUACAUGUGUAAGAGAACAGGUGACUCAAGCAAUGAAAAUUUAAGGGUCCUACAGGUCAGUGCGGUUUCUCACGUCAGUAGUCUCAGGCAGGUUAUUCGUUCUUGCAUUCAUCAGGGUCCUAUCAAGGAACCACGAAAUCCUCAAAUAUUGGUAAGUGAGGAUUUCUUAAUGAGGAAUCUAUUUAGAAAGGUGAAGACAAAGUUAGGAAUAUCAACAAGGGAUGGUGAAGUACCCUUGGGCUAGCAAAGGACGGAAGUCUUCUCUAUCCCUAGACUAAAGGCUUCUAGAAAUAAAGGGUCCAUGCCACCUGCUUGUGCAGUUUACUUAUGCUCUUUGGCCCUGUCCUGCCUGGUCCCAGAUGUACCAAUCUGAUACUUUGCUCGUUGCCUGGCCUACCUAAACUUCUGGUUCAAUGGGGUCAGAAAGAACUUAGCUCAUGAUAGACAAUUUGGCAACAUAGUCACUUGAUGUCUUGUGGUGAGAAGCUAAUGAGGUCCCAGCAGCAUGCCAAAAUUUUUAAAAGCUGUUUUUAAAACGAUGUGUCAUUUUGUGCGGCACAUGGUGUGAUUCUUCUACACCAUCCUGCCGUAAAACCUAUAGAGCAUCUUUUAUCACUAGGUAUCUCUAAUGCCACAGGGUCUGCUGACAUAGCAAGGCUGUUUAUCCCACUGCCUGGAGCUGUUGAAGAGCCCUUCUGACCUGAGUCCCACUCAAAGCUGGCAGCCUUCUGUGUUACUUGAUAACUGGAUCAGAGACACAUUCCCAAGUGUGGAAUACACUGCCUCGGAAACCCAGAGAAGCCUACCAGACCUUGGGAUGAGAGGUACAAAACAAAACAUUCUGUCCUUUCAGUUGGAAGGGAUUGUCUCGGUAUGCCCCAGAUCUUCGGGGCAUAAAUACUUCACUGAUGUGGCAGAUCCCUGAACCUUCGUAUUGUUUCAUCUCCCAACUUCUGCUGUCCAUGCAUCUUAUCGAGGCUUCCAAAAACGUGCCACUUCUUGCUCAUCCAACCAAUUAGAACGAUGUCAUUAUGAUGUUUUAUACAUAAGACCCAUAAUCAUAAGACCCAGCUAUCUUCAGAUUAUGACAGAGGAAUAGAGAGUUAACAUAGCCUUGGGGCAAGACCAUAUAGAUAUACUGAUGUCCCUCCCAUGAGAAUACAAACUGGUUUUUGGCUCUCCUUCUGAGUAGGGUUGAAAAUAUACACAUCCAACAGUGGAUGGCUGCCUAUAUUGUACCUGAGUCCAUGUUAUCAGCUCUAACAGAUAGUACCACAUACAAGUAGCAGUUGCAAUUGGGGCAACUCUUUGUGUGAAUUUGCAAUAAUCCACUAUUAACCUCCAGUAUUUAUAUGCUUUUUAUAGGAACCAGAUUGGUGAAUUAAGUGGAAUAUUAUUGGGACCACACUCACCAUAUCCCUUAGGUCUUUAAGGGUGGAAUUAAUCUCUGCCAUGUACCAUGGGUUUUUAAUUUAAUAUCUUGGCCACAGAGGGGUGUGUUAGAGGCUUCAGCUUGGAUUUCCAAGCUAUGCUAGCAUGGGUCCAGGAAAAAGUAUGGGGUUCUGCCAACCUCCAACACAUAUGCUUUAAUUAUAGAUUAGGAGAUUAUGGAAAUGGCCACUGGGUGGGUCUUUGGAGACAAUGGACCCAUAGGAAGAUGAACAUGGGUUAGGAAUCAAUUUAUUACUUUGCUCCUGUAUAUCCCCACUUGAACAGGUAAGUCAUGAUGAUCCUUCAGAUCUCUGGGUAUUAAGGUCAAAUCAGACCCUGCCUGUGUCCAACAGUCCUUGAAAUAUCUGGGUACCCUUCUGUUCCCAGUGGAUGGUUCCCUGAGUAAACGACUAUAGGUCCCUUUACAGAAGGACUAGGAAAUCAUCCCAUGUAUACUUGCUCCAGGGUUACAAAGUAAUUGAUUUGGGGGAUCUGACCUCUACUUUAGUCCUUGGGUUCUUGUUCUGAAAUCUGGCUCAGUUCUGAAAACUGGCAAGUAAUGGUCAUGUUUAUUUGGGUAGUGUGAUAAACUGAGUAAUGACUCCCAAAGGUAUCCACAUCCCUGUGAAUGUGUUACCCUUUUUGCCGAUAUGAUCAAGUUAAGGAUAUUGAUACUGGGAGAUUAUCCUGGAUUGUUCAGGUGGACCUAAUAUAAUCACAAGGGUCUUUAUAGAGGGAGGCAGGAGGGUCAGACUCAGAGGAACAGAUGAGAGGCUGGAGGAUCAAAAUCAGAGAGAGAUUUGAGGAUGCUAUGGUGCUGGCUUUGAAGACAGAAGGGACCAUGAGCCAAGGGAUGCAUGUGGCCUCUAGAAACUGGAAAAGGCAAGGAAAUAAUUCUCCCUUAGAGCCUCCAGAGAGAACUACCACUGCCAACACCUUGAUUUUGACUCAGUGAGACCCAUUUCAGACUUCUGACGUUUAAAAUUAUAGGAGAAUGAAUUAACAUUUGUUCAAUCCAUUAAAUUGGUGGUAAUCUGUUACAGCAGCAGUAAGAAUCGAAUACGAGCAGCUUCCAUCAGACUCCUGAAUCAUUCGUCCUUAAUAUUUGGUUGCAGAUACUGAACAGCACCUUUGUUCAUUGCCCCCCUCCCCCCAUCAGACCCCAAAGCAAGAUAGAUUCGCUUCUAAAUGCCUUCUCUGUUGCUCUCUGCAGGUCAGACCCACAGCCUGCCACUCCAGUCUUCAUGCUCAUCACAUUUCUUCCACUUGUCUCUCCUGGUUUGGGAUCGUUUCCUCCUCAUUGCCAUUAAUGAGUCUUCUCUCAUCAGGCUUCCCUGUAAAGGAUAAUGACCACUGAGUUUCUCAGUGGUGCUGUUGCCCUCUCAACAGGACAUUCUUUAUUGUUUAGUAGAUGGAGUGUCUUGCAGAAGCUCCAACAGAGAACCAAGUUGGCUGGUGGUUGGUUUCUGGCUUUUCAUGAUAGAUCCAUUCAAACAUUGCCAAUUCUUUGAGCCUUUGAUCCCUGCCCCCCGGGCUUUUAUCACUUGCCAUAGAAGUUUGGGCAUUUUUACUUGACUUAAUAUGGAACAUCACUUUGUCUAGGAUUUCAGGAGCUAACCUGCUAGCUUCUUAGCACCAUCUCCCAAACUCUUGCUAGGAUGUUAAAUCCUGAAUGACAGGAGAGUGCUCCUAUAUUUAUAAACCUCUUUGAUCAAACUUUAUGCACCCCUCACCUCCCUGAUGCAGCACCCUCGGGACCUGGUCCCAUGCAUACGCCACUAGCUCCUACCAGUGCAUGAGGUCUAGGUCCUGCUGCUCACUUGGGGCGUGCUCGCUUUCCGCUUUCUCAGGUCUAGCACUUCCCCAGCUGGGCAGUGUUGAGAACUAAUACUACCUACUGGUCCGGUGGCCAGGAGGAGAGAUGAAGGUAGCUCAUGACGGAGCACAUGUAGUCUUACAAAGCAGAGGCCUCAAUACCAUCUACAACCGAAGGUGGGAUGGGGUGGCACUGGAAUUUGGGAGAGAAUAGUGGGCCAUUCCAAUAGGCUCAGAAUUCAGAGAAUCUGCCACUCAAGACGUUCAGGUUCACAAACCCUGAUGUCUCAGAGCCAACAUUUCUUUAUCGGGACCCCGAUCUUGGGGAUUCCUGGGAUUGAGAAUUCAAACUCUGUGGAGUUCUGCUAUUUCUAUUAUUAAGUUCUGAGUCUGAGCCUCAGCUUUUUCUGCUCUCUAGCUGCAGGAGGUAAGAAUGCCUUUAGAGCCUUCCAAGGAGGCUUCUGGUUUCAUAUUUUGUAUUGAAUUGGUAAUUACCCUCGGAAUUUCACUACUUCUUCCUAAUUCACGAAUGGCAUUCAGAAAUUGCCAUCUAAUCUCAUUUUCCUUAUAAUUACUACUUCCCUAUGCCCCUUAAAUACCUAAACUAUUGCCCCUGCCUGUGUGUCUCCUUCCACUGGUAUACAGUCCCAGUACAUGACCAUUGAAAGUUUUAAUAGCUACACAAUAACAGCAUGCCAAAGGCUAUGCCACCAUCAUGUAUGAGGACUUUAUUGCCAGCUGAUGGGUGAUACAGCUCCAAAGUCUCAUUUUGAGUCUAAUUCCUAGGACCAAUCCUGGCACCAACUGUCAUAUGCCUGGUUCCCUAAGAAAUGGACUCUGAAAAGCAGAUUUGCAUAUAGGAAUCUUAAUAGAGUGUUCCCAGGAACACCUGUGAAGGAGUAAGAAAAGAUAGGGAUUGGGCAGAAGGAGACAUUUAACUGUGAUAGGAUUGCAACCAAGGCCUUUGCCAAAGUCACGAGGGAGUCUUAAGCUGAGAUAGCUCUUGAGAGAUGACCUGAACUAAAGCAAGAGGGCCAGGCUGUUAUACCUCCUCUAAGACCCAACACUAGAGGUGGGCUGCCCUGAAAAGAGGUCAUAACCUUGGAGGAGGCAACUUUCUUAACUAAGGGUAUUUCUCUGGAAGGAAUAACUGCAAACCUUCAGCAGGUGAUAGCCAUGCCUCUGUCCUGAAGGAGGUUCUGAAGGGUGCACACAGUGCCUACCAUGUCCACAAAGCUUUCAAACAGUCUAAGAAGACGAGUGAAAUGGGGAAAUGAAAGAAAUCGCCAUCCUUGCACGUUUUAAGCUUUGAAAAUGGCACUAAUAUUUGUGAUUUCCCCUAGGAAUAUAGUGUUAAUAUCAGUUGACAAUUUUGCACAGGAGGAGAAGCACCUAUCAUGCUCUUUCAUGAUGUAGUGGCCCCCACUUGAUGAAUCAAGGAGCCAAUUGUAUUUUAAUUGUUCAUUCAGGAUCUGGAAAACUAACCACAGAUAGAUUCAUAGAUCUAGUGGGUCAUCAAUCAUUGGAGUCUGACAAAAAUUCCACGUCUUGCUUUACCUCAUAAGCCCCUAUUUUGACUAGUUUUCCACUGUGGAAUUUGAAAUUCGCAGGAAUGAAAGUUGUCUCAAGGACCCAUGUCCAACAAUUCCCUACAUUUUUCUUUCUCUCUGACACAAUCAUAAGAAGAAUAUCUACAACUUUCUUUGGGAAAUAUUAGGUGUAAGUUUAAUGUGUGUGUGGUUUCGAUUUCUCACAGGACACUCAAGUGUACCUGGUCUCCCCUUUAUUCAAGGGCCUCUGGGUUUGUGAACUGAGUUAACUCUGAAAAUUAGUAAGUGGCCAUGAAUCUACUGUGGUGAUCUAAUAGACUCAGAGUUUGAAGGGAUCACAAAGGAAAUUAGCAGGUUUCCCUACUAAUUCAACCUAGGAACCCAAUCAUCAGUCAAUGACUGCCAAAGACCUCUGAAGAUCAGACUGUUCUCAUAACGACACCAACCAAUCUGAUGAUCACGGUAACAGCAGCUACCCUGUGUGUGGUUAGUAAGCACUGCUCUUUGGUCUCUGUCAUUUCAAGAGUUUAUCACCCACCUUGACAUCUGGAAGCCCAUCUGAAAGCCAAUAUCUCCCAAACAUCUAUGGCCUAUGGAAAUGGCCAUUGCACUGCUUUUUAAGGAUGCUGGUGUUCCCUUCAUCAUGGUGAAGAGAAGAACUUCAGAGUUUUCUUUCAGGGACAGAGCUAUGGAUGGGGUAAAAAGUAACACAGGUACGUCCACAACCCUGACUGUCUUUGGAAUCCUUUCUUAGGUACCAGUGAAUUUCUGUCCUCCGAACUUCAUUCAGUGUAGACCAUGAAUGAAUUCAGAUGUCAGCCAACGCAAUGAGCAAAUAGCGCUCAAGCAAGUACCUUGAAUCUAGAAUCUCUGGAAAAGUGCAUCUGUAUCAAAGUCAUCUUGAUCUAAAAUUGUAUUUCUUCCUCCCUAAUCUGGAACCCUGUGAAUUUAUGGCCAUGGAAAUACUUUUCACAUUUAAUCAAUGUAAACUAGAAUAUAUCUUGUGAUUACUUAGGGAGGAAAUCUCUUAAGAUUGGCCCCCUGUGCGAUGCUAGGACAUGAUAAAAUCCUGUGGUGAUAAAGGUGGCUCUCCUUUGCAAAACAGCUACCCCAGUUAGAUCAUUGUAUGGUCUUCAAACCUAGUAGGACUUUAUCAUGCAGAAUGGAAGGAAUUGCCUCUUCUGUCUAGGAGAUUCAAUGAAGUUUUGUAGUUUGGGGCAUUUUGAAUGACUCAAAUAUUCCUUACUAUGCCCAUUCAAAUUUUUGCAUCUCACUCUUUCCCAAGCAAAGUCUACGGUCUCACAUAAUAAAACUUGUGAGUUGUGAAUUCAAGUGACAUGUUCAUUAAAUAAUUCAUAUAGUUGUUAAAAAUAAGACAAUAGGCCCCACGUAGAGCCGCUCAUGCUAAGCCCCACAUCACCAAACUGAGACUUCGCUAAAUUACACUUUCAGCUCUCCCAGAAAUGCAAUCUUAUAUCACUUAAUCAAGAAUCCCUUGAUCAGCACUAAUUAGGUAAUCUGCCUGACAGACCCCUGCUCUCCCGUAAAGCAAAGUGACCUUACUAGAACCAAUUUAAUUUUUUGCCUAAUAUAACUUCUUUGUUCCUGUUCCCUUCUGCCUGUGGAAGUGUUCCUUUGUACAAUUCCUUGGAAACACCUCUCUAUCAGCUCGACUGGAUGCCACCUGAUUCAUGAAUCAUUGAAUAAAGCCAAUAAGAUUUUAAAAAUUUACUCACUUGAACUUUGCAUCUUAACAUGGUCAAGGAGUUUGUACAGUUUUCAGCUGUGUUUACUGUUGUAGGUCUUUAUGUCCAAAACAUUUUCUUAGGACAGAAUAUGCUGUAUUCAGAAAAAUUUUUUUUUAAUUUUUUUUUUAACGUUUAUUUAUUUUUGAGACAGAGAGAGACAGAGCAUGAACAAGGGAGGGGCAGAGAGAGAGGGAGACACAGAAUCAGAAACAGGCUCCAGGCUCUGAGCCGUCAGCCCAGAGCCCGACGCGGGGCUCGAACUCACGGACCGCGAGAUCGUGACCUGAGCUGAAGUCGGACGCUUAACCGAGUGAGCCACCCAGGCGCCCCCAGAAAAUUUAAAAUGUAAACCUAACCUUGUUUUCCUCUACAUUCUCCAGCACAGUUGGAGGUAGCAGCCCACCUAUUAUGGCCUUCCUCUCUGCCCUAAGGCAGUGCCCACUUAGUCCUCCAAGGCCUGUCUGUAAUGGGCAUGUUAUUCAGGGUGAGCACUGAUGGCCUUAAAAGAAAUUCUUCCCGGGACACCUGGGUGGCUUGGUCAGUGAAGCAUCUGACUUCGGCUCAGGUCAUGAUCUCAUGGUUUGUGUGUUUGAACCUCACGUCGGGCUCUGUGCUGACAGCUUGGAGCCUGGAGCCUGCUUCGGAUUCCAUGUCUCUCUCUCUCUCUCUCUCUGCCCCUCACCCGCUCAUUCUCUGUCUGUCUGUCUCUCUCUCUCAAAAAUAAAUAAACAUUAAAAAUUUUUUUCUUAAAAAAAUGUUUCCAGCAUUGCAUGAAAUGGACUACCAGAACCCCAUUUUCUUAUUCCUGUCAAUUCUUUCUGUUCAGACCAGGCCAGACAAGUUUCUUAUUUAAGCAAAGGCUUGUCCCUGCACCCACUGCUUGUAACAAUUACUGAAUAGGUUUAGGAUCUCAGUCAUAAGCAACAGAAUCUGCUAUCUAGUUUCCAGGAAAUAUAUUAACUGACAUUCAGCAGCUCAUAGUAUCAUUGGGAGAGAAGGAGAAAUGGGUCUGGUGUUAAAUGUCCGCAUAGAAUGCCUAAAGUCACCACAGAGCUGGCCUGUUUUUUUGUUUUUGUUUUUUAAAUUUUUUUAAUGUUUAUUUAUUUUUGACAGAGAGAGAGAGAGAGAGAGAGAGAGAGAGAGAGAGACAGAGCAUAAGUGGGGGAAGGGCAGAGAGAGAGAGGGAGACACAGAAUCCAAAGCAGGCUCCAGGCUCCGAGCCAUCAGCACAGAGCCCGACCUGGGCCUCGAACUCACGGACCGCAAGAUCAUGACCUGAGCGGAAGAUCAUGACCUGGACGCUUAACAGACAGAGCCACCCAGGAGCCUCAAGAGCUGGCCUGUUUAAAAGUUGCUGUUCCUGCUUGCUGCCUUCAUGGACAGCAGCAUCGGAUGCCAGAAACUCCAUUGUAAUCCCCUGCUAUUGGCCCCGCUGUUGCUUCUGUAUCAGGGACUGAACUUGAGAAUCCCUAAAACAGGUGCCUUACCUCCACCCUGACUAGCAAACAGGAGGGUGUGCAGAACCAACUUCCUUUGCCCCUUCCAACUCCAAUCCAAUGGCAGUACACCUGUUUGGAAGAGCCCACAUGCACCUGGGUUACAGCAAGAAGUGCAGAUUGAAUUGUAUCUAUGACACAGGAGGGAAGGUAUCAUAAUAAGGGAAUGUACUCCAGUAUACAAAGGAUUUUCAAAGGAUGAUGUAUAUCCUCAAGUAUUAAAAAAAUAAAAUAAAAAGAUCCAUUACAUCUUUACAGCAUGAAAAAAAAAACUACCACAUGGUGAUAGUUGUAGAAAAGCAGAGUAUACUAUAAGAAGUUGGCUUCAUUCGUGUGCUUAUUUAUGUAUUUAUUGUUUGUUUCUUCUGUCUGUAGUGUAAACCUCUUGAGGCCUAAAAGUUUCCUGUACAUGGAUGUAUAUGCCGGCUUGAGCUAGGACAAGAGUCUAAACCAGAAUAAAUAGACAGUGAACAAUUACUGAAUGGAUUAAGAAAUAAAUAGAUAUAUUUCUGUCUAGCUAGGCUUCUCAAUAUAUGGCCUGAAUGUUGCACACCAAUGAAUAUAAGGCUUACUAUUGUUUUUUAGAGUCUAAAAUGGUGUUUGAAAUAUAAUAGCCACUCAGUUAAUUGCACUUAAUAUCUUGAAGUUGAACAAAUACUAUUGUUUGACUUUUAAGGAAAUAACUUGCUUGAGACUAACCAGUUAGUAGAGACGUGGUUUUCGUGUUAAAAAUGCAAAUUCCGCUCCUGACACCUGGGUGACCUUCAGCAAGUUACUCUAUUUCUCUGUGCCUCAAUUUCCUUAUCUAUGAAAUGAGAGUAAUAAUAGAAAUCAACUUCAUAAGAUGGUGGGGAUUUUUUAAAUGUUUUUCAAUUUAUUUAUUUAGAAAAGGAGAGGGGGAGAGAGUAUGAGUGGGGGAGGGGGGGCAGAAAGAGAGGGAGACAGGAUCCCAAGCAGGGUCUGCACUGUCAGCUCAAAGCCCGACAUGGGCUUGAACUCAUGUACCGUGAGGUCGUGACCUGAGCCGAAAUCAAGAGUCAGACGCUUAACCAACCGAGCCUCCCAGGGCGCCCCAAGACUGUGGCGUAUUUAAAAAAAUAUACUAAAACAAUGUCUGUCAUAUAGUGGGUAUUCAAAGGCUAUUUAUUAUUUUUACAAAUAGCCAAUUGAUUCAAUCAUCAUGUAUAGAGAUGUUUUUUCUGCAGCUGUAGGAUCUCUGGAUGUCAGGGAUCUUGCUUCUCUGUCUGGGUUUUCUUUUCUUUCUUUCUUUCUUUUUUUUUUUUUUGUUUUUAAUAUUUUUUAGGUCUUUAUUUUAUUUUGAGAGAGACAGAGUGCAAGCAGGGGGAGGGGCAGAGAGAGAGGGAGACACAGAAUCUGAAGCAGCUCCAGGCUCUGAGCUGUCAGCACAGCGCCUGACACGCGGCUCGAACUCAUGGAGUGUGAGAUCAUGACCUGAGCUGAAGUCAGAUGCUUAACCGACUGAGCCACCCAGGUGUCCCUCUGGCUGGGUUUUCUUCUCUAGGAUUUCUCUAAAUCCACGGAAUAAACAAAGGUCCAUUAACAGGUCUGCCACUGAGUCAUCAGCUUCUUGAGGGCAGUUACCAAGUCUUAAUUCAUCUUUAUUUCUCUAAAGCCUGGUACGUAUCUAACACACUUCGCAAAAUGAUUUUCAGCUUUACCUUAAACAUGCUCAAAUAAAGGAGUCACACAUAUCAAGUUCUUGCUUCAACAGUGUUGGUUAACUAUAAGAGUUUUGUGGGUUUUCUGAGAGUGUUUGGUUUGGUGUAAGACAAGGAAACGAGCGUGAGUUUCUCUGAAACUUAGAUAUCUCAUACAAAGGGGAAUAAGGAAACCAAAAAAUAGUAAUGAUAAACAUGACUCAGAAAGAGAGGCAACAACCCAUAUUCAGAGAAUGGAGCAAGCCAUCCCUGCACAGACCUGUAACAAGGAAAGCAUAUACGUUGGGUUACAGGGUGGGGAAGUGUUUGUUAAAGGAGAUUGGAAAAAAUGAGAACGCUGUUUCUAAUAUUAGUGUGAUGUCAAGAGAACUUGUGCCUCAGUAUUUUGCAAAUAGUCCAGUUACACACACCCUUUGUAGAGUAUGAAUGCAGAAUACAUUUGGACAGAAUCUGAUGAAAGCUGCCUCAGAUACAUAAACACAUAAACAUUAUGGCUGCUGGGGCUUAUCUGAAAGUGGUAUGCCAGGUAGGAAAUGUAAGAGGAAUUGUAAUAACCAGAUGUAGGUAAAUAGGUCCCAAGAAAAGAAGGUGCCAAAGUGUUUGUUUGGUGGGGAGGCAGAUACAGACUAGUGGUUAAGAGUGUGGGUUUUGGAGCCCAACUACCUGGGUUUUUAUAUCAGCUUUUACAUUGAUUAGAUUUAUGAUGUUGGGUAAGUGAUCUUCAUUUUCUCAUCUCAAAUACGAAGAUAGUGGUCAUGUGAGCUAUUAGGACAUGGAAAUAGAAUUCUUGGAAAGUAUUUAAAAUACUGCUUGUCAAUGGUGGCAGCUCAACACACGUUAAUUGCUAUGUUUAUUUCCAAGCAAACUAUGAACCUCAUUCAAACAUCCUUCGGCCUUUCAAUAAUACUGAUAACUAGUACGCUGUCAUUUUUAAAAGUAUUCUCCAAUCUAAAGUGAAAUGCAAUGGACUCCUUUUGUCCAAGAGAAUGAUAGAACCACUUUCAGUAAAAGAUGCAGUACAGUUCGGUCAGAAAGUAGUUUUCUGUUGGGCAAACUCUAAAAACCCAACUUUUCUUGGCUCCUUACCUUCUACCCAUCCCAUGUAAUGACAUUGUUGCCUGUCACUUAAACAUAUUUUCACACUUCAAAUGUCAAGCGCUCACGGUUUGGGUGGGGCUUCCAUAACUCUGUAACUUUGAAUUUGUAAGUUCGGACUUUCAGAUUCCACUUUGACCUACUUGAUCUUGAAUAGGGAAAUCACAAAUCACUGACUAGAUAUGUGAGUCUAUCCCUGGAACUUCCCUUCUGCUGCACUGAAUUAUUAUCUACCCUAUUGCCAAUAUCACUGUCUUAAUUUCCUGUCCUCUUGAUUCCUUUAUAAGGACCCAAGAUUCCAUCUGACAUCAGUUCCUCUCAACUUAAAGAACUUUUAAUAUUUUUCAAUAUACUCAGGGUCUCUGAAGUCAAAUUCUCUAAUUUUAGUUUAACUGGAAAAAAAAAAGUCAUCAUUUGCCUCCAUUGUGUAAGGACAUUUUCAUUGAACAAAGAAUUCUAGGUUGACAUUUUUUUUUUCUUUUCAGCUCUUUAAAGACACAAUUCAAUUGUUUUCUGGAGGUUUCUAAUAAAAAGUCAGCCAUACUUUUAUUGUUGUAUCUUUGUAUUUAAUGUGUCUUUUUUUUCUAUAUUCUCUUUUAAGAAUUUCCCUUUACUACUGAUUUGCAGCAAUUUUACUAUGGUUUAUCCACUAUGUAUGUUUUUCUUUAUUUUUAUGCUGCUUAGUUUCACUGAGAUUUUUGGACUUGUAGGUUCAUUUUUUACCCAAACUCAAGAAACUUCUAGCCAUAUUCAUUCAGAUAUUUUCUCUGCACUUCCCUCACCCCCUUCUUCUUCAGAGUCUUCAAUCACACAAAUAUUAGACUGCCUCAUAUUUUCCCAUUGACCACCCAGGGUCUGUUUGUGUGUGUGUGUGUGUGUGUGUGUGUGUGUGUGUGUGUGUGUCAUUCUUUUUUCUCUUGAAGUUCAGUUUGGAUGAUUGUUGACUUGUUUCAGAGCUUAGUGAUCCUUCCUUAUACAGUGUCCUAUCUUCCCUUCAGUCAAUUUUAUAAUUUUUUUCCCUGUGAAUGUAUUUUUCACUUCUAUAAUUUCCACUUCUUUUUUUAUAAAAAAACUUUAAUAUUUAUUUAUCUUUGAACAAGAGAUGUGAUGAAUUAUAUUGAAUUAUAUAUAUUGAUCAAUUAUAUUGAUUGAUUUCCUAAUAUUAAACCAACCUUGCAUGUUGCUCAUAAACCAAACUUGUUGUUACAUAUUAUCUUUUAACUGUUGAUGAAUUUUUAUUUUUGUUUAUUUUGUUGAAAUUUUUACAUCUGUGUUCACCACAGACGUAUGAUAGAAAUUUUACGUACGUAGAAAUUUUACAUCUGUGCUCACCACAGACGUAUGAUAUAUGAUACAUAUAAUUAUAACUCAUAUGUAGCAGAACAUUAUCACAAGUAUAUUAUUAUAUCACAAGUAUAUUUGUGUAUAUAUUACAAGUAUAUAUCACAAGUAUAUAUCACAAGUAUAUUAUAGUAUAUCACAAGUAUAUUAUAUCACAAGUAUAUUAUCACAAGUAUGAACACAUCUGUGUUCACCACAGACGUAUGAUAGAAAUUCUACGUACGUAGAAAUUUUACAUCUGUGUUCACCACAGACGUAUGAUAUAUGAUACAUAUAAUUAUAACUCACUCAUAUGUAGCAGAACAUUAUCACAAGUAUAUUAUGCUUCAAAAUGAAGUUGUGUCCUUUCCCCUUCUCUCCAGCAACACCAGCCUAAAUCCAAUGUCUACCUCAAGGUUCAGUCGAACUGUUCUAUCUCUUUCAUGAAUUUGAUCUCAAUUCUUCUAUCCACAAUGAAUCAUUCCAUCCUUUAUAUAACAGUUUAACUUUGUUAUGCUUUUUCUGUGUUGUGGCAUUUCUAGCAUGUCCAGGAUGUUUAAAUAUUUCGUCCACAAGACUGUGAUCCUCUUAAAGGAGCGACCUUUGUUCAUAAACUUGGCAAGCUCUACCACCAUGCCUGGAACAAAGCAGGCGCUCAAUACAUGUGUGAUGAACUGGUUUGUGCCUUGUUUUGCAUGCUUUUCAUUCAAAUGCUCUGUUCUUCACUGGCUGAACUCACUUUCUUUGCCGGAUGGACUCCUUGAUACCCUCUUGCUUUUCUCUGUGUAGCUGGAAUUCAAUAAUGAGAGUAACGAUGGUGAUGAUGAUGACAAUAAUAUAAUCGGCACAAAAACAAAAUGACUUCUGACCUCAAAACUCAACACUUCACAGACAUGGAGUGAAAGACCAUCGGUAAAACAAAGAACUAAAAAAAAAAAAGAAAAAAAAUUAGUUCUUUACUUUUCUCUUGUGAAAAGGCCAGAUAAGAAGAAUAUUCAGAGACAAAUGUCCUAAACUCCUUAAAAAUAAAUUUCACAUCUCUCUUGCUCCGAGGGCCCACCACAGUGUGCUGGUGUCCGAAGUCAUCUUUUUAUUCAAGGCUCCCGGAAGGUUUCAAAACCAGUCACCGUGCAAGGUCUAGAUUCUUUUUUCACGCUUUCUCUCUUUCUUUUCACAUUUAAUCUUCUUUCUCCGCAAGAAGGGAUCUGUUUCCCUUUUUAAGGUUUUCUUCCCAGAAAUCAAUUGGAUAAGGCUGGUAUAGCUGAGGGAGGCUUGAAUGCCACUAGCCAAAGAAAAUUUUCCAUAGCAGGUAGGGACUGCCUAUGAAACUUGUUUUAUUUUAAAUUUUUGUCCCUCUCACACUAAAAAUCAUCAGCCACCUGUUAUAUUUACCAAACUUUUCAUUUUCACAUAUAUGUAAUUAUCAUAAUAACUCUGGAAACUGAGCCAGGUAAUGGCGUUUAAUGGCCUUAUGGACUAAAAAAAAUUCUGGUGAACACAAGACGAAAAUUAAAAUAAUACUCAUUGCAAAAUAUAUGUAAGGAAAUGCAGCAGAAUUAUGAUUUCUUAAUAAAAUACUGAUCAUUUUUCUUCUGAAGUAGCAACUGUCACAUUAAUGAAGCAUUUUUUUUUUUUUUUUUUUAAAUACUGGUGCUGUAAGCACGGAACAAGUCUUCCGAUUGGAAUACACAUCUCUGUCUGGGAGAUAGGUUUUGUUUCCAUUUAACAAAUAAAUUAACUAAGGAUCAGAGCAGUUAUCACCUGUGUAACAUCACACAGUUGGUAAGUGGCAGAGUAAGAAUUGGAGCCCAGGUAAUUCAGUCAUUUGAGACGAAGCUCAUUAGUGUUUUACUUUAUUUUUCAUUUUGUGCUAGAAUUUUGGUUAGUUGGUUGGUUGCUUGCUUAGUGUUGUUUCCAUUUUAUAUGGCAAGUACAUCCUACCAUCGAGUGCUACCCCAUCUUUGGACAUCUCCCAAACUCUUCUCUGAUUAUAUGAGCAGUACAUUUUGGCUCCCAAUGGACACAUCCCAUUACCUACCUGGCUUUUCAAUAUAUCGCAAAUCCUCCCCGUGAAACCAAACAAUGGACUCUUCUGUUUUGAGCUUCAUUAUUAUAUGGUCUGCAUUAUCACUGGCCUUAUUACGGUUAUUUCUGGCAAUAGCAAGGAUUGUAGGGAGGAAGAAUGAGGGUGGAAAUCCCCAGUUAAGGUACAUGGAAAACUUGUUCAGCUCAUAGCAAAGGAACUGCCUAGUUUAUGGUCCACAUAUGUUCCCAAGAAUCAGACUCAAAUAGCCCUCCAGACAGCCUCUCAAUACCAUUCUGAAGCUGAUCUCAGUUAACAGAAUGACUGAAAAUUGUGAUCAGGUACUCAAAAUCGCCAGAGGAGAGUCACUAUUCAAGCAGGUAUCAUUUAAUAUCAGUAAGAGAGAAGUAUUUGAAAAAAAGAAUAGAAGAUUUCAUCAGGUCCAUAGAUCUUCAGAGUAAAAUGGAAAGAUAUUAUAUAUAUUAAGACCUAAAGAAGCACACUAAUGAGCCCUCUGCAUUGUGUUGCAAUUUCCUGGGGGGGGGGGGGGGGGGGGGGGGGAGGGGGUCGUUCCCAAAUAAUUAGUCCCCGUGUAACUAAUUCUAUCUCUGGACUACCUGACUGCUUCUUUCUGAGUAAUGGAGUCAUCCACCAGCCACCACAAAUACAGUCAGGUAUAAUAACCCUCAGGGUCAGAGACAAGGAUCAGUCAUGUCCUGCUUGAAAUCUCUGGACCUUAAGAAGCUUACCAGGUUGAGAAGACACUCCCUAAAAUUGUAUAGGAAAAUAAUUCCCAAUUGUGUGAAAUGCCAUAAUUCCUUUCUUUAAAAAUAUAUUUUUUUAAUCUUUAUCUAUUUUUGAGAGAAAGAGAGACAGAGUGCAAGCAGGGGAGGAACAGAGACAGAGGGAGACACAGAAUCCAAAGCAGCCUCCAGGCUCUAAGCUGUCAGCACAGAGCCCGACAUGGGGCUCAAACUCACAAACCACAAGAUCAUGACCUGAGCCAAAGUCAGACGCUUAACCGACAGAGCCACCCAAACGCUGCUACCAUAAUUCUUUCCUUAAUGGAUACCUGUCUUUCAAUGAUGAGAAGACUUAAAACUUAAUGUAGGAAAUAUUUAGUGAGAUCUAAUCGUUGGUAUUGAUGUCUUUGAGUUAAGAAAUCUGUAUAUGAUUGUUACUUUAUGUAUUUGUAUUGUUCCAGACUUUCAACUGAUAGAGACAAAAUUAGCCUUACAAAUGCAGUAUAAGAUGAAUAUUUAAGCAUUUGAAAUAGUCCCAUGAUUUUUAACUAGCCAUCUUAGUAAGAUUACAAAUAGCAAUGGAAUUAUAAGUCUGAUUCAUCAAAUGUGAACUGACUUUAAAAGGUUAGAGAAACAGCUGAGGGUUUGAAUUUUAAAUUUAUAACUUCAAUAAAUUUAUUAUAGGUUUCUUCUGCCACCCAAGAGUGUUCCCGUGAAAUCUUUCCUGAGCCGGCAUAAAGUGGCAUAAAGUAAAGAGCAAUUACUAUUCAUUUACAUGGAAAAAGUUUUGAGCUUUCAUAGACCCCCAAAAUAACCUCUCUUAUACUUUUUCUGAUACAUGAGGACACAUCUUGCCAACAGAUGCACAGAACAAAUCAAGAUGAAGCCCAGGUCACAGACACAGGUCAGAGCUCUGGCAGGAGUGUAGCUCCGGGGAAGGGACUCAUGGGCCCCCCAACCUCUCGAGUGGCUCACUGCAAAACCAACAAUGAAUGCCAUUUUUGCUUCUCAACUUUUUUCAUAAAAGUGAAAAUCCGUUUUGGGUUUCUUUUGGUUAGCGGAAGCAGGUACUAGUGAAGGUCUUUUUGUCAUGGCAAAGUGAUGCAAUGGCACCUUUUGAAAAUCAGGGGAUACCUGUAUUAACUUUUUUUAAAACCAAAGUAAACCUCUGAAUAGCUUUUCCAUGCACAACACUGCCCUACAGGGCACCAAAACACACAUACCUAUUGUGAGUUAAUCUCUCGGUAAGGUUUCUGCCUGUUUGACUUUCCAUUUGGCUCUUCUUCAAAUCUUCCUGGAAAAUGCCUUCAGGCUGAGGAAUGGCAGCAUGGGAGCUGGGGACAGAGUCACUAGGUGACCACCAGGAUCACGAAGAGUUGCCGGAUGGGGAAGCAUUGCCAGGCUGUAAACUAAGAGAACCAGAGGAGAUGUGGGGAGUCAUCAGAAAGUUUUCAAGAGACUUCAGCUGACCCCUGACCACAAUUUGGAGAACACUAAGUUUUAGACCGGAAGUACGUGCUGUACCCUUCCACCAUAGGGAUCCAGGUCCCAAUGUUUGGCCUUGUUAUCUCCAACGAUAAAGGAAUUAAGACCCACAGUGUGUUUUCUCUCUGAAAGCCAGGGUGAAGGGUUGUGUCUGAGAUUAUCUUUUGUUAGUCCUUGCUUGUUGGGGUUUUGUCUUUCCCUGAGGGUGAAUUCCCUGGCACAAUGGCCCCCUCCCUUCUCUAUGUGGAUGCUUUAGCUGGCAAAAGAACUGAGGUUGAAAUUUGAGAUUGGCUUUAUGGGUGAGGUUCCUGUUUGUUCAAAGCCACCUCCUAUCUUUCUCUUCUGAAGCCACCAAAGAAAACUCUGAAAAUCCUGGAGUGACCCUUAAUUAAGGCAGCUCAGGGAGGAGGCACAGAGUGGCUAAAAUAGAACGCCUUUCUUUUUUCUGUAUAGCAAAUAUAGUCUGGCUGAAAGGCUUUUAUGGACUAAUCAGUUUUCCCUGGUUUGAUCUAUUAUCUGGGUAAAGUGAAACAAUCUUUCCUCUGUUCCUUUUAGACAAGGGGCCAGAUUUUGAGCUAGUGGGUCCUUUAGCUCCAAAUAGCUAUGCUUCUGGGAGCACCAGUCAUUGUCUUCAAAUGGCUGUUCCCUACUCUAAGGAAAAUAAGUGUAACAGGGCAGGGCUGGUCCUGGAAAGUGAUGAUGGGGUCAAGGUCUUCCAAUCCAGCCCCUUAUUGCUGUGCUCGUCCCUCCCCUCCAGGCCCUCAUGCUGCCCACCAACCACCCCUCCCCCCCCCCCCCCCCCCCGACCCCUCCAACCCCUACUUUAUCAAAAUGCCUUCUUAGGCAAAGUUCAGGAUAAGCAUCUUACAUUUUGGUGUGUUAGAUCUCUCAGAGACCUAGUUUGGAGCCUCAUUUAAGGAAAAUGAAUUUCAGGCAUCAAAGUGGUUGCAAAGGGUUUUUAGGGAAAAAGGGGACUUCCUUCUCACUUUAUAAGAAAGGAGGACUUCUGAAACAGAAAUGUGAUGUGCUAAGAUCUGUGUAGGACUCCAGACCAAAAAAAAAAAAAAAAAGAUUGGUCUGCACUGGUGCGUUAGCUGAACUUGAACUGACUUGAAGCAACCACGUUGAGCGCAAUCUUCUGAAAUGAAAACUAGAAAGCACUUACAAGUGUAUCUUUAAGCUUAGUUGAAAGGAAUGUGAUAAUGUGACAUCUCGUUUUGGCCAUGCCAUUUUAAAUCACCUUUUUUCUCAGGAAGGUCUUUCAAAUAGAAGCGAUUGGACACAUAGAAAAGUUUAGAGGUCAUUUUCUGGAUAUUUGCACAUUCUAAAUGUUUUCUUAAGAGCAAGGGUAAUCACCUGUAAAAUGUACCACCAUUUUGUCUUAAUGAUUCUCAGUCUUGACUGUGCAUGAAAAUUACCUGGGGAAUUUGUCUAAAGCACAGAUUUCUGCACAUUCUCUCUCACUUCUCCCCAGAUGAUCCAACAGGUCUGUGCUGGGGCCCAGUAAUCUACGUUUUGAGAAGUAUACGAUAAUUCUGAUCUUGGGUAAACCGGAGGGUUCCGUGUAACCUGCAGGACUACAUAGCUAAUUCUGAUUUGGAUGCUCACCCUCUUUCCUGGCCUUGCCUGUGCUCAGCCCCCUUUUUCUUUCUUUCUUUCUCCCCUUUGCCUGUGCUGCCUCCUCCCCCACCUCCCGAGGGAAGCUAAGCUCUGGGGCACCAUGCACUGAAUCCCUGGUGGUGACUUAGGUCCUCUGGGGGAGUGUUGGUCACACGGCAAACAAACUCUCACUUGUUCUGCCUUCAUUUCUCAAAGAUAGGCUUUGUACCCUUGGGGAAAUGGCCCUCUAAAAGUAUGUCAUGUGGAGCUGGUUACCACACUUUAAGGAAAACAUAGCAGAUCUGGAAAAGAAACUGCAGAGAUUAAAACAGUUCAGAAGGUUUCACAGAAGGCACAAUAAAUAAUUAGAUUCUGUAUAUCUGGAAAGUCAAAAAUUUCCCAGUAGGGCCAUAGUCUGAGAACCAGUUGGCACCAUAGGGAUCACUGAGUGCUAGCUUCUCGAUUCAGAGUCACUGAAAAACAUGUGCAUAAAAGCAAAACAACGUGGCCUUAUCUCCUAAAGAAAAAAGACCUAUCAUAGCUUGGAGGAGAUCAUUUUGCAAGAUAAAGUAAAUAUAUUACCUAACAAGUUAUAGAUUAAAUAUAGACGAUUUAUUAUUAGCAAGUAAUUCAUGUAAAAGUUUUAAACAACAUUCUUGAGACAUUGAUGCAUGUUGGCUAUAUGAAGAAAUAAUUAAAGAAAAUUAAAUGUUCAGACACUAACAUCAUUAACCUCUCUCUAACAUUUGAAAGAGACCAGUAUCUUUCCAAUCUCAUCCAAAGGCAUCUCUUUUUCUUUUAAUUUUUAAAUUUUUAAAAAAGUUUAUUUAUUUAUUUAUUUUGAGAGAGAGAGAGACAGAGAAAGAAAGAGACAGAGAAAGAGAGAGAGAGAGCUCGUGCAUGAGCAGGGGAUGGGCAGAGAGAGGGGGAGAGAGAGAAAAUCCCAAGCAGACUCCAUGCUGUCAGCACAGAGCCUGACACCCCGCUUACUGUGACAUUAUGACCUGAGCCAAAACCAAGAGCCAGAUGCUCAACCCACUGAGCCACCCAGGGGCCCCACUUUGCUUUUUUUAAAAAAAUCACUCAGGGUGCCUGGGUGGCUCCGUUAAGGGUCUGACUCUUGAUUUCAGCUAAGGUCAUGAUCUCAUCAUUCCUGGGUUCAAGCCCUGCUUCAGGCUCUGUGAUGUUUUCUACCACGCCACACUUUGUUUUAAUCUGGCUAACUCUUACUCACCCCUGAAAACCCUAUUCAAAUCAUACCUCCUCAGGAAGCUGGCUCUGGUUCCCUGAUUUGGUUUUGGAGAGCACUGCUAUCAGCACUGACCACUCAGUCUUGGGUCUUCUCCACUAGACUCCAUGCUCUUUGAAGACAGAGCAGGAUUUAUUUUACUGGUGUCUCCGGGGCUUAACAACAUGCUCAACCUAUUAUAGGUACCAAAAAAUAGUUUUUCAUUAAAUGAAAUGGUUUUUCUUAAAUAGGGAAGGCAGGACUUGAUACUAACUCUCAAAGUCCAGGUAAAUUCCUAAAGGUCAGACACAGGAGGGGCCCAAAGUCUCAUGACUGAAAAACCAUUUGUUUAUAUGCAUCUGCAAAGAGGUUAUAAUCCCCUCAUCCUGCGGGUCCUUAUUCUUCUGUUGGGAAUUUACUUACAGGAUGCAGUUUUAGUUUGGGUGUUGAUAUCUAGAUUGUAACUCCUUCAUCAAGCUAAUUUAAAGGAGCCGGACAUAGAAUUUCCACUUCGUAAGGUUAUUAUUGCCAUUAAAUGUAAUAAUAAAUGUUUGGAAGCAGAGUUACCCAAUAUUAGUGUACCCAAUAUACAUUCACAGCACUUUUGUUAAUCCAACACUUCUUUCCUGUCUCAGGCUCUGGAAUAUAACCCCAUGAAAUGCAAGGACUGUGUCUCUUUCACCAUUGUAACCAGAACUCCUGAAAGUGUGAUUUCCAAGUAACUGCUCAAUAAAUAUUGGUAGAUUGAUUGAAUGAAUGAAUAAGAUGGAAUGAACUUUCUUCCUCAAUAAAAUAGUUUACUCUUCUCCCAUGUGCCUUCUGCACACAGAUAUUUCUCCCUUCGACUGACCUAUGUUCUACAGCUUGUUAACCAACUUUACAUACGCAAAUAUCCACCUGCUUGAUAGCAUCCUCUCAGAAUUCAUUUGAGAUGCUUCCUCCUUCAUUCCAGAACCUUAUCGAUCCCCCAAUAUAAAUUAUUGCCUCUGCAACUCAAGUCCGGUAAUAAUUGUCACCUCUUUUAUAGCAAAGCUUGCAUGCUGCUUGACUUUUUCUCACCCUUAUCCAGAUCUCAAGUAACUCAUUUUUGUUCCUUGAGCUUUGUGUCAACUCAUUCUCGAUCACACAUACGGCACGAGCUUUUGCUCUGUUGCUUCACAGAGAAUUUUUACGUUAUAAAAGUAAUGGCUUUCACAUAUCAACAUAUCUCAAUAAUAUGUAGAUAUGACUUACAUAUCUAGAUGUAGAUGUAAAUGUUAAUACACAACAUCUACAUAUCUAGAUGUAGAUGUUAAUAUGUAGAUAUGACUUAUAUGUAGAUAUGACUUACAUAAUAUAUUGGUAGGCAUUUAGAUUCAAUUAUUUUCCAAAUAUUUUCAUUGGUGGAUACUUAAAUAAAAAUACACCCUUUCUCUAUUUCCUAAUUUUAAUUUUUUCCUUUUAGGUUCACAACACAGUGAUGCAACAAUUACAUACAUUACGCAGUGUUCACACAGGGAGUGUAGUUACCAUCUGUCACCAGAAAAGGUAUUACUUUGUGUGAAUUUUAAAAUGACUUUUUAUUUUUUAUAUUUAUAUUAUAAUUUACAUAUUACAUAUUACCUUAUGUAUUUUUGUAUUUAUUAUGUUUUAAAGUGGUUCUAUAAUUUGAACUGGUUCUGAUGUUUCACUUAGUUUACUUCCCUUAUUCUCCAUUUUCCAGUUAAAAAAAUUUUUUUCUUUAAUGUUUAUUUAUGUUUGAGACAGAGAGAGACAGAGCAUGAAUGGGGCAGGGGUGGGGCAGAGAGAGAGGGAGACACAGAACCCGAAGCAGGCUCCAGGCUCUGAGCUAUCAGCACAGAGCCCGAGACGGGGCUCAAACUCACAAACUGUGAGAUCAUGACCUGAGCUGAAGUCUGACGCUCAACUGACUGAGCCACCCAGGCACCCCCCCCCUUUUUUUUUUUUAAUUUUUUUUUAACUUACCGUUUUCCAGUUUAUAAGGUAGAGUUUCCCGUCAGUGAACAUCACGUAUGUCAUAAAAUUUACUAUUCCUCCAUAGUAUUUAACCACAAUAUUAAAAACAGUGUGGGGAGGGGCACCCGGAUGGCUCAGUUGGUUAAGUAUCCAUACUCAUGGUUUGUGAGAUCGAGCCUCGUGCUGGGCUCUGUUACUGACAGCACAGAGCCUGCUUGAGAUUCUCUGUCUCCCUCUCUAUCUCUCCCUCUCCGUGCUGCUCCCCAACUCACGCUUUCUCUCUCUCUCUAAAACUAAAUUUAAAAAAUUUGUUUGUAAUCUUUAAAAAAAUUGUACAUUAUAUUAAUAUUAUUUGAUUCCUAUUACUUAGGUAUAGAUAUUUUUAAAGCUGUUAUAAGUAAUGUCAAAUUAUUUUAAAGCUGUUAUAAGUAUUGUCAAAUUAUUUUUCAAACAUUUUCUGCCACACUAUAUGGUCUUCAGGAUUGGACAGAUAUACCAGUUCCAUUUAUAUUUUCACCUGUACUACAUACUGUAACUUUAAAAACAACUUAAUAGAGGAAAUGAACUUCAUUACUGCUUUCACUUGAGAUCUUUCACUAUGAAUGGAAUUGAACAAUUUUCAAUUUACUCAGACAUCUUUACUUCCUCUUACUCUUCACAUACUGUGUCCAUAAUGUAGUGGAAAAAUAUUUUAGCAACUUUUAUGCAUUAAAAAUAAUCACUACAGGGGAGUCUGGGUGACUCAGUCGGUUAAGCGUCCGACUUCGGCUCAGGUCAUGAUAUCACAGCUUGUGAGUUUGAGACCUGUGUUGGGCUCUGUGCUGACAGCUGGGAACCUGAAGCCUGCUUCGGAUUCUGUGUCUCCCCCUUUUUCUGCCCCUCCCCCACUCAUGCUCUGUCUCUCUCUGUCUCAAAAAUAAAUAAACAUUAAAAAAUUUGAAAAAAUAAAUCACUACAGAUUUCAAUAAACAAAUGUUUAAAACAAUCUUUUUUAAUUAUACCAAUUCUAAUCAGGCAGUGUUUGCAGAGCUCAAAGCUCACUUCAAUGAGAAGGAUAGCACUGCUGAAGAGAGAAGUCAUAAAAAUCAAGCCAUGGACCCGUACUUGUGACACAAACUAAUACGCUAGAUCUUAAGUUCUGUCUAACAAUCAGCAUCUGUUCAUUACAGACCAGGGGCGGAGGCAGGAGAGACAGUUUCUAUUCUAGACCAAACCCAGAGAAAGGGAGGCCACUUAUCUGGGUAGCACAAAGCAAAUCAGACUCUGCUCCUUUCCCGAUUCCACCUUUGUUUGCUUAUUUAACCAGGCAAAAGUACUUAACCACACAAAACAGCUUCUACUGUAUUGACAUAAAACUCAUUUCACAUGACCCACAGAUAAUCAUUGGCAACCUUCAGAAGGGUUACCCGCUCACGACUCCAUCGUUUCCUUGAAACUAACUGUGGCCAAAGCCUACUUUUAGUUUGUGCAAUUUUAUAACAUUUUAGAACCAAAUGACCCUUCAUUUGUCAAGCAGUUUCCAUGAAAUAGACUUUAAAAAAUCAUUUCUAAAAUCUCCUUCUCAAUGUUGGACAAGAACCUAGUUUGAUGACCAGAGCUGAGGACCUCCUAGGGCCCUGGCUCUCAGUCGUGGCUGUGCACUGGAGUCUCCCGGAGCUUUCUAAGACCCCAGUGUUGCCCCCUGUGCCAAAGGUUCUGAUGUAAUUGGCCUAAGAUGAAGCCUAGGGAUGGGGAUUUUUAAAAGAGCCUCCACCUCACUGCUCAGGGGAAAGCAAUGGAUAGAGAGUUUCGCUGUCACCUGCUUACAAACCACCGAUGGUGAAAGGUAAUACUAACCCAGCCUAGUGUAUUUCUCAAAAAAAGAGAUUUGUGGGAUUUUUGUUGCUGUGGCUGACUUGCUUCUUUGAAGACACGACUCCAAGGUAUUUUGCGAAACAGAAUUAACAUGACGCAAGUUAUCGAACCUCUUAAAAGCAGUUCUUCGUGCAUAAGACUUUGCCGGAAUGCAGUUCAAGGCAAAACCUACCAAAUGUAAACAGGACAUGGAUGUUUUUGCCACUGAGGCCGGGCACAUAUCCGUUGUUGGAGCGUAUUUCCACGCGUCCUCUUUUCCGACUCCCCUCCCUUCCGGGGCCACGAGGAUCGCCUCCUUUCUGCGCCUCUUCGUUCCUGCCGCCCGGCAGUGGUGCCUGAUAACAUCCAAUACGUGGUUGUUGACUGACUGCGUUUGCCCCUUGUUCUGCCAGCUGGAUAGGCUGCUCUAUCAGUAGCAGUGCCACAGUGACCUCUCUCGAUGAAACCAGAAAGUGCAGUGGGGAAUUCCAGAAGGAGCUCUUGGAACAACAGUCACCUUGGGGUUGGAAUGUGAGCCGGUCCCAGUCUCGGACGAAACCGAGGAGGAAAUAAUGUCAGAGGAGCUUGGGGCAAAUGGGAAGCAGAACAGCACUAUGGGUCUGUCUCCGCGAGGAGCCCGUCCCGGCACUUUCGUUAACUCCUCUGAUUCUUUUGGUUCUUCGUGUCCAGAGACCAGAGACCUAAGCUUAAAUUCACUCUCUUGAAUGAUUUUACUAGUUUUUCAACAUGCAAAGAUUGCAAUGUUUCAUGCUACAGAUGGAUUUUUCAGGAGCCACCAAGGCGUUCCAAUCAAGGCAAUUAAAAAGAACCCCACACUGCAUUUUAGAAGACAAAGUCACAGGGCUUUAGGGUAGAUUUUAAAAACCCUUCUUGGGGUGCUUGAGUGGCUCAGUCGGUUAAGUGUCUGACUUUGGCUCGGGUCACGAUCUCAUGGCACAUUAGUUUGAGCCCCGCCUCGGGCUCUGUGCUGGCAGCUCAGAGCCUGGAGCCUGCAUCGGAUUCUGUGUCUCCCUCUCUCUCUGCCCUUCCCCCCCUCCUUCUCUCUCUCAAAAAAAAAAAAAAAAAAAAACUUAAAAAAAAAACCUCUUCUCACUUUCAGUUUGUAUUUGUUCCUAUUGUUUAUGUCCUGAUGCACGCUUGGUGUAAACUCAGAGGGAAGAAGAAAUGAAAGACACUGCCUUUAAUGCCACAGUCAAGGUGACAACUACUUAAGAAAUUAGAGGUGAGAAAACUUGAUCCUAUGAAGCAAGUACAAAUGGGAUUACUGUCACCAAAUCAUAAACACUUAUGCUACCGGGGAGCAGCAGGCUAAGAGUUAACUUGGAGACUAGCGCUAAACUAAGUGUUCACUUUCAACCUUUGCACCGACCGAAUCAAUUAACAUUCUGCCUAAUUAACUCGGCUCUCAAAUGGGGCUCCAUGUAAAGCAUCCCAUAUGGACAGUGGCCCCAUUUCCCCCUCUAACAACAAGGUAUAAAAUUAUUUAUCUGCAUACUGAUAACUUAGAGGUUAAAGAAGAAACAGGAGGUAGAGUGUUUAUUUGAAUAGAAAUAUGAUAUUAGCACAAAUGUUCUUUAAACAAAAAGAUAAUUUUAGUGGUGGCAAUAGAGGAAAGGGUGAAGCCAGGUGAAGAAAGAGAACAUUUUCUUCCCCGAAUGAAGAAUGAAAACGUGCUGGAUUCUCACUCCAUUGAGGGUCUGGGGGAUUCGACCAUGGGACCCCCUUCAAAAUGGGCCUAUGUUGUAGAUCCCCUAAUAACAGUAAAUAAACCUUUAGCCACAAAACCAUUGUAGAUGGAAUCCAACACAAAGAAUUCCCUAUCAAAUUACCAAACUAUUUUUGUAAGACUUCAGGGUUAGCGUAUUUAUUUUUCUUCACACACCCUGUCUCCAAGACUUUUAAAAAGUGCUAAAAAUGAUACAAAACCCAAGAGGAUAACAAUCAUAAAGCAGAAGCAACAGAAUAAAGGAAACUAAAGAGAGGGCCAGGAAAUGGAGCCAGAAAAAAGCCUAAACGUUUGCAUAAACCAAGUAUUGAUGUGCUCCCUUCCACGUGUCUGGGCAACAAAUGUGGCUCUAACCUGCCAGCAGCCACAGUGAAGACAGUAACCUGGUCAAGUGCUCCCGCUCAGACUCUAAGAUAGAAAUAAACACAUUUCACAGAAGAUUCUUCCUGGCGUUUAGACCCGAACAGCAACCAAAAAAACCAAAACGCUUAUGUUUGGUCUCUUUUUGAAAAAGAAACUACAUGAUAGAAUAAACAAUGUCCUCAACAAUAUCUUUUUUUUUGUUUGUUUAUUUAUUUUGAGAGAAAGAGAGAGAAACAGACAGAGACAGAGAGAGAGAGAACACUGGCAGGGGAGGGGCAGAGAGGAGAGAGAAGAUCCCAAGCUAACUGCACAGAGCCCGAUGCGGGGCUCAAACUCAAGAACUGUGAGAUCGCAACCUGAGCUGAAACCAAGAGUCAGACGCUUAACUGACUGAGCCACACAGGCAUCCCUGUCCUCAGCAAUACCUUGACACAAAGUUUCAUGGGACUUUUCCUUAAAAUACUCCUCUGGAUAGGGUGCCCAGUUUAAUUUGAAUUUCAGAUAAACAAGCCAGACAUACUCUCACUAAACGAUUACUCAUUGUUUGUCUGUGAUUCAAAUUUAACUCACCCAACUCAGGUUCUUGUGAAUCCUGUAAGAAAAUUCUACUCAUGUAUACAAGCAUAGAUGUUACAUAUGCCUCCCUUUUAUUAAACCUUUUGUUUUUAACAUUUUUAAUUUUUUUUUAACGUUUAUUUAUUUUUGAGACAGAGAGAGACAGAGCAUGAACAGGGGAGGGUCAGAGAGAGAGGGAGACACAGAAUCUGAAACAGGCUCCAGGCUCCGAGCUGUCAGCACAGAGCCCGACGCGGGGCUCGAACCCACGGACCGCGAGAUCGUGACCUGAGCCGAAGUCAGCCGCUUAACCGACUGAGCCACCCAGGCGCCCCUUGUUUUUAACAUUUUUACUUUAACGAAUGCAAUCUUUUCAUAUCUACAAAGUUUUUAAAAGCUAUGCAUUGUUUAACUGUUUGGAGGUACCAUAAUUUUUUUGACAAUGUUUCUAUUUAAAAAUAAUUUUUUUUGAUGUUUAUUUAUUUUUGAGAGAGAGACAGAGUGUGAGAGGGGGAGGGACAGAGAGAGGGAGACACAGCAUCUGAAGCAGGCUCCAGGCUCUGAGCUGUCAGCACAGUGUCCCACACAGGGCUUGAACCCAGGAACCGUGAGGUCAUGACCUGAGCCGAAGUCAGCCGCUCAAGCCACUGAGCCACCCAGGCUCCCCGACAAUGUUUCUAUUGAUGAACACUUAAUUUAAAUUGUUUCUUCUCUAUCUUCUUUAUAAACAACUUUGCCAACACCGUAAAUCCCUUUUGCAGGUAUGCAUUAAGACUGCUUUUCAGGGGUGCCUGGGUGGCGCAGUUGGUUAAGCGUCCGACUUCAGCCAGGUCACGAUCUCACGGUCCGUGAGUUCGAGCCCCGCGUCAGGCUCUGGGCUGAUGGCUCAGAGCCUGGAGCCUGUUUCCGAUUCUGUGUCUCCCUCUCUCUCUGCCCCUCCCCUGUUCAUGCUCUGUCUCUCUCUGUCCCAAAAAUAAAUAAACGUUGAAAAAAAAAAAAUUAAAAAAAAAAAAAAAAGACUGCUUUUCAGUCUUGGAAGGUCAAUUGUGGGUUCAAAGAGAUUACUUAGUCUUAAAUUUGAUAGAAAUUGUAGGGGCACCUGGAUGGCUCAGCUGGUUGAGUGUCCAACCUCAGCCCAGGUCAUGAUCUCACGGUUCACAAAUUUGAGCCCUGUGUUAGGCUCCAUGCUGACAGCUCAGAACCUGGAGCCUGCUUCAGAUUCUGUCUCCCUCUCUCUCUGCCCCUCCCCGGCUCGUGCUCGGUCUAUCUCAAAAUAAAUAAAAAACAUUACAUUUUUUUUUUAAUUUUGAUAGAAAUUGCCAAAUUGUCCCCUAAAUACAUUAUAUCAGUUUUCAUGCUAACCCACAGAAUAGGAGAAUGCUUUCCACACCCUUAGUAACAAUACUCACUAUGGAUGCUGUAACUUUUUUUGCCAGUCCUAUACCUAAAAGAAACUACAUCUCCAUGCCGAAUCAAUUUGAUAUUCCUCAAUUAAGAACAAAGUUCUGGUUGACAUUUGUCAAUUUUGGGCUGCCAGCUCCCACUGUCAGUCCUUUUCAUCCUUCCCAGGCACCCAAGGAUUACCCUUUGGAGAACUGCACCUCCCUGCAUCUUUGGGUUAGGAUGUAGACUGUAAGUCUUCCUAUGGAAAGUGUGGGGUCCAAAUCACCCAACUCCCCACUCAGAAAAGCUGGGGGGUCCCAUGCAGGGGACAGUCCUUGGGACAUUUGGACCCUCUGGGGGAUGCUGAUACUUGGGAGAAUGACCCACGAGCAAGAGCGCUGGUUGAAGCCAUAGCCAUCAUGGGGGCAGCUGCUGUGUCAGUGUCCCUUACCUACGCUGUGACUCUGACUGUGGUUCUUACCACACAGCACCUCAGAGCUUGGUGGCCAUGGUCCGGUUUGGAAUAUAAGCUGUUAACCACUCUGAGCGCCAGCUGUCUCUCCAAUGCAUCCAUUUCCUCUUUGAGGAAAUCAAUGUAUUCCUUCUGCUUGAAACCAGGAACGCUGGCACAAUUGUAGAGACAGGUUCCAUCUAAUUUUCCUCUAAAUAGUGAAUCUGUUAAAUAGUGAGUCUUUCCAGUGCAUGAAAACGAUUUGAUCAUGGCUUAUGCACAGUUUCCUCAGGAAUUCACCUACGGUAUUACACAAAGUACUCAAUCUAAAUUACAAAAGGAGAAUGAUCAAAGUGGACCCAUCCUAGAAGGCAGUAGUAUCGGCUCUCGGCUCUCGUUAAGGGGGCUCCUGGGUGGCUCUGUCGGUUAAGCGUCUGACUUCGGCUCAGGUCAUAAUCUCAUGGUUUGUGGGGUCCAGCCCUGCAUCAUGCUUUGUGCUGACAGCAAGGAGCCUGCUUGGGAUUCCCUCUUUCCACUCUGGAACAUAGGAAGGAGAACUGAAGCUUGUCGAUCUCUGGGUUCCAAGGUCAGUGGCAUAGGAAUACUUUUCAUUUCAGUUGAUUAGCUAGUGCGGAGGAUCAGAACGUGCCAUCCCCAAAUGUGCAGCUUUGGUACGAUGGAGAAUAAAGAGAUGCAGAAAGAAGCCUUUUCAGAACUUCUCUUAUCUGACUCAAAGCAGAAACUUCUGAAAAUGAAAACUGCCCCAAAUCCCGUCUCCCGGAGAAGCUCUAUGGUCACGCAGAAGAAGGAAAAUCAGCACCGAAGUGGACCUGUGCAACCAAACCUUGCUAAAGUGGCCCUUCCUUUCCACUGGUUUCUCCCACGUUGCCUUCCCACAGUUGGAAGUCCCUAGAAGCCAGACACCCUUUCCCUGUGUCUUGUCACUUCCCUACAAAUUUGUCCUUCUUUGUUAAGAUGCCAUUUAGGUGCAAGUUCAAACCACCUCUUUGAAUUACCCAUCACUGAGUUUCUCCCACAUGCGUGCAUGCUGCCCACGUCAACAAGCUCUGUUCUUCUCUUGUUCAUCGGUCCUUUGUCAGUCUAUUUUCAGGCUCCAGCUGGAGACCCUCGGAGGGGAUGGGGAAGAGGCUUUUUUUCCCUUCCUUACACUAGCACCAAAGACAGUACCAAACAAAAAUAUCUGCGCCUCGUGAGUAGAUGCAGCUGCCCAUGGUCCGAUGUUCUGAGCCCAGGUGCAGAGCCCAGGUGAAAGCCAUUCGAUUCAAGGAAACCUGAAGUCUUGAGAGUUCUAAGUGUGUACCUCGUUGGGCAGGAAAGCGUCGAGUGAGUCUCAAGAGUCUACCUAUGGCACGCCAGCUUGUACAGCAAUGUCUUGCCACCAAAACUGUAGUCUCCUGUAUCCUCUGUGGGCUUCAGCAUUCUUCUUACUCCAAGAGAUCUCACUGUGGCUGCCUCAGGACCAUCUGUAGCAGCCAUUCAUUUCACAAAUACUACGUGCCCUCCAUAAAAAGCACUGUUUCCUUUUGUUAUUAAACGGUGUGUAUGGAGAGCACCUUCCCUUAUCAAAUGGUUACAAAACACUGCAACUGCCCUCUUGAAGUGUUGUUUGAGUUUUGAUUAUUUCUCUUUGUUUCUCUGUAUGUGUGUCUCUUUCUUUCUCAUCUAUGUAUAUAUUUUCACCAUCCCCUUUGGCCAGAACAAUCUUUUACGGAUGUAGCUGUAUAAUUUACGUACAAUACAUAGAUCUUAAGGACUCAUUCUGAAGAGUUUUGUCGAUGGCAUACACCCAUUUAACCACAACCUAUGGAAAUAGAAAACAUUUCCAAAACCCCAGAAAAUCCUCUCAAACUUCUUUCUGGUCAGUUCUGCACUAUUUCCUGUCAGGGAAAACAACAACAACAACAACAACAACAACAAUAACAACUCUAGUUUCUAGCACAUAGAUUUGUUUUGCUUAUACUGAAAGUCAUAUGAAUUGAAUCACACAAUUUGUGCUUUUUUGGUGGAGGGGGCUUGAUAUAAUGUUUCUGAAGUUGAUCCAAAUUGUUGUGUGUGUCAAUAGUUCAUUUCUUUUUACUAAGAAGCAUUCUACUCUAUGAGUUUACCACAAUGUGUUUGUCCAUUCACCUGUUGAUGGUUAUUUGGGCCAUUUCGAGUUUGAGGCAAUUAUGAGUAAGACUACUAUGAACAUUCUUCUCUACGUCUUUUUGUGUACACAUCGUCCUUACUUCUUUACUGUUUACUUUACGUAAAGUAAAGUAACUGUUUAACUUUACGAGAAGUUGCAAAGGAGUUCUUACGUGUGGUUGGACAUUCCUCGACAUCUACCCACAAUAGAUGAGACUUAUAGUCACUUCAGAUACUCACAAAUGUCUGUUUUGUUAGGUGUUUUGAGAAUAGCCCACUAGCACCUGUGAAAGGUAUCUCACCAUGGUUUUAAUUUGCAUCCUCUUAUGGUUAAUGACAUAGAGCACGUUUUCAUUUGCUUACUGGCUAUUUGCAUACCGUGUUUUGUGAAAUAUUUGUUCAAGUGUGAUGGGGUGUCAUUUUAUUUUUUAUUUUUUUAUUUUUUUUAAUUUUUUUUGCAACGUUCAUUUAUUUUUUUGGGACAGAGAGAGACAGAGCAUGAACGGGGGAGGGGCAGAGAGAGAGGGAGACACAGAAUCGGAAACAGGCUCCAGGCUCCGAGCCAUCAGCCCAGAGCCCGACGCGGGGCUCGAACUCACGGACCGCGAGAUCGUGACCUGGCUGAAGUCGGACGCUUAACCAACUGCGCCACCCAGGCGCCCCAAGGGUGUCAUUUUAAAUUGGGUUGUUUGUACUUUUUAUUAUGAGGGGUUUUUUUUAUGUGUUUUGCAAAUUUGCAUGUCAUCCGUGUACAGGGGUCAUGCUAAUCUACUCUGCGUCAUUCCAAUUUAGUAGAUGUGCUGCCAAAGUGAGCACAGUUCUUUAUGUAUUUUGGAUUGAACUCUUUCGUUAGAUGUAUGUACCAUAAAUAUUUUUUCCAAAAUGAUUAUUUUUUAAUGGACAAUGGCAAGUACGUUUCAUAACCAUCUCUGGAAUACCCAAACAUUCAAGUAGCAGAUAGACCAGGCAGUUACUGCCACCACAAAAGUUUGGUAUAAAAAACUAUUCUAAAACAUAGUGACUUCAAACAAUAAGCAUUUAUAUAGAAACCAAGGCUACAAGUCAGUUGGGGUCAGCUGACCUAGGCUGGGGUCAGCUGAAGCACCUUGGCUGUAUCAUUUUGCUCCCUGGGUCUCAUACUCUCCUCCUGGAACCAGUGCAUUGGCACAGCCGUAUUCUUUUCAUGGUGGUGGCUGAGGCACAAAGAGACCAGCAGAAACAUGCAAGACUUCUUGGGUCUUAGACUCAGACCAACACUGUGUUACUUUCACAUCUACCUGUGGACCAAAGCAUCUGUCAUGGUUGAAAUCAGAGCUGAGGUGGGAAACGUGACCUGCCCAUGGUUAGCAAGCUUUGCAAAAUUACUUGACAAGUGGCAUAGAUACAGGGAAAAGCAAAGAAUAAGACUCAGUGAAAUCUGUUGCAAACAUGUGAAAGUCAUAAGUGUGUAAACACAUUUUUAAAGAAUUUAUGAUGGAAAAGAGACAUCAGGAAUAAUCCAUUGACCAUUUUGCCCUCAUAACUGCCUUGCUGAGUGUUUGAUUUCCCUCCCUCAGCCCAACUUAUUCCAUUUAGUAUUCAACUAGUCUUAAAACCAUUUAUUUACAAAUUCAUGAAUUUAUUCAAUAAUUAUUUAGAAUAUUUCCUGUAUGCCAGGUACUGGGUGCCAGGUUCUAGAACCACAAGAGUGAUCAAGACAGGCAGAACUUAUGAAAUUCAGCGUUGGAUACAGACAACUGAGUAGGAAAUUUCAGUUCAAUAGGAUGCUUUAGGGGGCCAUCGGAAGGACAGCUUACCCAGAGUCAUGGUGUGAAGGUUUUACAAAGAAAAUGAGAUCUAAGCUAAAGCCUAACCAACAAAUGGAGGGCAAGCUGACUUAGAACUGACAGUAGGUAGAUGCAGUUUGAGUGGAGUUUCAGUGGAGAGGUGACCGUGGCCCAGAAUGAAGAGUGGAUGGAAGACGUAGGGAAACAGGAGGCAGGGAGGCUACUGCAAUGUCUAAGCUGGAGGAAGCAGGGCAUCAACCAGCGCAGACGCAGCAGAGGUGGAGAUAUGUGGAUGGAUUCCAGUGACAUUUUGGAGCCCCGGGGGAAGGGCUUGGAGUUUUACUCUGUCUAGGAUGAGGGAGAGUGAGAAAUCAAGAAUAGUGCCCAAGUUUCAUGACUAAUCCAACAGAUGGUUUUACACUUAAUGAAAUCAGAAUUAGAGGAAAGGGUCAUGUUGGAUUGAUAGGGGGAAGAGAUAACAAAUUUUAUUCUAAAAUAUUGAGUUACCUAUGUUAAAAGAUAAGCUGAGGUAUGUUAAAUAUUUUCAGAGCUCAUGUAAGCAAAAGUCAAUUCAAAUCAGGUGGCAUCCAAUCUAAAAGACAGAGAGAAGCUCUGAGGAACCUUACAAAACGGAAGACUUACAUGGGCCGAAAGGAGUUGGAACAAGGAAGGUGGGAAAGAGGCACAUUAGCGUGUGCAAAGUUAUGGCAGGGUUACUUUCCUUUGGGGGAUGACAGGGCUUUCUCUGGCAGAUUACCUAAUUAGUGCCGGUUAGGUGAUUCCUGAUGGACUGGUUUAAGAUUCCAUUUCUGGGAGAGCUGAGACUGUAAUUAAAUUAAGUCUUGCUUCCUUCACAUGGGAUUUAGCAGAAGUGCCUCUGUUUGGGGCCUAUUGUCUUAUUUUUCACACUUGUGAGAUAUCCAGGAGGCACUGUCUUGCAGUUAGAGGUAAACAUGAGCCUGAAGUUUAGUAGAGAAUUUAGGGCUGGUGGUAGAUUUAUGUGUCACGGGUAUAUCGGACUUGGACACCAGCAGAGAAGGUGAAAAUGCUCAUGGAGAAUACACGAAGAGGGCGGAAUGAGGAGGGAUAUCAGCCAACAGCUCAACAAGGAAAGGGCGGGCAGGCGAAGGGAUCCUGCCAGGGAAGCUAAGAAUGUGCAGCCAAAGCCAUAGGAAGGAAGAUCAUGGAGGAAGAGUGUAUGCCUGCUUUCAGGGAGGGAGAGACUAAAUGGCAAAGAACAAGAGAAAAAUCAAUAUGGUGAUGGUCCUGAUAAGACCCAAGGGAAGGAAAUUUGAAGCUCAGAUACAAGAAUAAAAUUUGGGUAGGAAUUGCCCCCCACCCCCACCCCCCAGUAGGACAAGAUAAAGAGAGAGUAUGGAAACAAAGGAACGGUUGAUACGGUGUGGGUGAGAGGGUUCUUGAUGGUCUCUCUCUCUCUCUCUCUCUCUCUCUCUCUCUUUAAGGAGGAUAGAGUGGUAUGGGAAGGAGAUGAAGCAUUAUUCUUUAGGAAAGUAAAGGUUUGAAAACAAAAACAAAAACAAAAACAAAAAUUGGGACAGAAAAUGAAGAAAACCUCAUUGUUCUCCCGGCAGCGUUAAGGUCCCAGGAGUGGUGGGGGACUGUGAAUUUGUCAUGUCUCACAUCUUAAUGACUUUGCUGUUUUCCACCAGACUUGGGAACACACAAAGAAAAAGCAGACUUUCGGCUUGAUUUACUCAGGCGGAGGGGAGACACCAAGAACGUGCCCGACACAUUUUGUUCAGCGGCACGCUGAUCACCUCUUCACCGCUAACGCCCCUCAGUGAAGAACAACCAGAAGAAUUUUCAAUUUAAAAAUAAAUCCAAACAUUUGUCUUCGUAUUAUCAAUGCUGUGGAAUAUUCUGAACAUACUGAGAAAUUGAAGAGCAUGCAUUUGUG
rnacentral:lncRNA from 1 species